AUACGUAGGGGGCGAGCGUUGUCCGGAAUUACUGGGCGUAAAGGGUGCGUAGGUGGCACUUUAAGUUGGAUGUGAAAUCCCCGUGCUUAACAUGGGAGCUGCAUCCAAUACUGGAGAGCUAGAGUGCAGGAGAGGUAAGCGGAAUUCCUAGUGUAGCGGUGAAAUGCGUAGAUAUUAGGAGGAACACCAGUGGCGAAGGCGGCUUACUGGACUGUAACUGACACUGAGGCACGAAAGCGUGGGGAGCAAACAGGAUUAGAUACCCUGGCAGUCCACGCUGUAAACGAUGAAUACUAGGUGUAGGGGGUAUCAACUCCCUCUGUGCCGCAGCAAACGCAAUAAGUAUUCCGCCUGGGGAGUACGGCCGCAAGGCUAAAACUCAAAUGAAUUGACGGGG
rnacentral:rRNA from 1 species